rnacentral:tRNA from 1 species
ACCUGGCUGGCUCAGUUGGUGGAGCAUGUGACUCUUGAUCUCCAGGUUGUGAGUUCAAGCCCCAUAUUGGGUG